AGUGCUUGUACAACUGUAAUAGUUUGUAUAGCAUAUAAAACAUAUGUAAACGAAAUUAUAAUAAGAGAUAAUAUGUAAACGAAAAUAUAGAUAAGAGAUAACGAUUUUAGAGGUUUCAUUUUUUUAAUUAUUAAAUUUUAAUUAUUAAUUAAUUGCUUAAUUUUUUUUUCUAAUUUUUAUAAAAAGUACGUGUACAAUAACAACUCUGGCUACUCUGUGUCUCAUAUGGAAAACAGCUGGCGAUAAGAACUAUCUCAUUUGCUGCACCUUUGCGACUAUUCUACUGAUAAACAAAGUGGAAAAAUGUCGCGCUUCAGUGGAGCACUACAAUUAACUGAUCUGGACGAUUUCAUUACUCCUUCACAGGAAUGCAUCAAGCCCGUUCCCAUAGAAAAGAGCAAGUCGAAAACUGGUGCUAAAAUUACCAUACAGGGCGAUGGUUAUUAUGAAGAAACUGAGGCUGGCAAGCAAAAACUACAAAAAGUAGAAAUAACACUGCAGGAUUGUCUCGCUUGCUCUGGCUGUAUCACAUCAGCCGAAGGUGUACUUAUUACCCAACAAAGUCAAGAGGAACUAUUAAGAGUGCUCCGGGAAAAUACAACAUUAAAAAGUCAAAGUGCCAGCGAAGAAGUGCGUACAAUUGUUGUAACAAUUUCACCACAGCCUGUAAUUAGCUUAGCUCAACGUUACAACCUAAAGCCAGAGGAGGCUGCCAAACACUUAAGUGGUUAUUUUCGUUCGCUUGGUGCGGAUUAUGUGCUGAAUACAAAAAUUGCUGAUGAUCUAGCAUUGCUUGAGUGUCGUAAUGAAUUCGUUGAGCGCUUUCGUGAUUCUAAAAGUGCUGACGAUGCUGCCGCAACACCUCUGCCAAUGCUUUCAUCUUCUUGCCCGGGUUGGGUUUGUUAUGCAGAGAAAACGCAUGGUAAUUUAAUUUUGCCUUAUAUUGCUACCACACGUUCGCCGCAGCAAAUAAUGGGUGUGUUGGUAAAACAAUGGUUAGCAAGAAAAUUAGAUUGUCCGGCAGAGCGAAUAUAUCAUGUAACGGUAAUGCCAUGUUAUGACAAAAAGUUGGAAGCUUCACGCGAGGACUUCUACAGUGAUGCAAAUAACUCGCGUGAUGUGGAUUGCGUUAUAACUUCAAUUGAAAUUGAGCAAAUGCUUAUCAGUGCUGAUACGCCGUUGCAUAUAUAUGCUCCAUCGGAAAUUGACUGGCCAUGGCACUCUGGUAGGCCAGAGGCGUCAGUAUGGGCGCACGAAUUUUCCACUUCAGGGGGAUAUGCAGACCACAUCUUUAAAUACGCUGCUAAAGAACUCUAUGAUGAGAAUGUGGAAGUACUGGAGUAUAAAAAUUUGAGAAACCCAGAUUUUCGUGAAAUUACUUUAGAACAUGAUGGUCAGGUAGUACUUAAAUUUGCCAUUGCUAAUGGUUUCCGCAACAUACAAAAUUUGGUACAAAAACUUAAACGAGGAAAAGCGGCAUACGAUUUCGUUGAGGUCAUGGCUUGUCCUUCUGGUUGUAUUAAUGGUGGUGCCCAAGUGCGACCAUCCACUGGCGUUCCCAUACAUGAAUUGAAUCAACAGUUAGAAGAACUUUACAAACAGUUGCCGAAAUCAAGACCAGAAAAUGAAGAUACAAAGCAAAUUUACAAUAAGUUCUUCGAUGGAGCACACACUGACAAAGCGAAAAUGUUACUACACACCAGCUAUCACGCAGUGGAAAAAAUGAACACUGCAUUUAAUAUUAAAUGGUAAAUGUAAUUACGUUGACAUAGGCGCUUAUGCAUGGUGUCAUAUGUGGAUUUACACUUUAAAAGGUAUCUAAAGUAAUAAAUUAGUAUGUAUAUAAAAUGAUUUCUAAAGAUAAAAGUAUAUUGGCUUUCGUUAAAAUUCUCAUAGGCUUUUAUUAUAUUGUAAUAAAUAUCAUGGAAAAGCGUUAUUGCAGAAGUCUACGUUUAUUAGUAGAUGCUUUAGAAAGUAUAAUCAAUCACAACAAUUUAAUAUUGUUUUCUUGUGGAAUGUUAAUAUAUACUACUAUGUUUGUUAUCACAAGAACUAAGUGCGUAUGUCUGUGUAUAUACGCCAAUUAAAUCUUAUUUUUUGCUCAAUAAGUUUCACGAAUGUCAUGGAAACUUCAAUGAAUUACUAUUUUUGGCGCAUGUGCAAUGAUUUAUGUUUCGCUAUUUACAUAUGCUCCCAUAUGACGAAUUCGGAAAACAUGAUUGAAGUUGUUGUUGGUCUAAUUGUUUUAUUUCAAUAUGGUUAGGUUUCGACACAGUCAACACAUUUCUGAUUCACAGUUACACUGCUACCUUGGUGAUAAUGGUGACAGGAAUUUUGUCCAAAACCACUACCUAUCGCGAGAUAUAUAUUGAAACUGAAAAAUAAAGGGCGAAAACUUGCGCUCUGUUGCCAAAAAGAAAAUUCCAAAGCAAUUGAUCAACCGAAUUAUAGUAAAUUUAAAAGCUAUUAGAAAUUCAUCUAUUCAAGAAUCAAGAAUGGCCGCACCGAAUUCCUUUAAUCAUCCGUAUGGUGUGCCGGCUGCCGCCGCUGCCACUGCUGCCUCAACAAACGCAACAAUACCACCCAUUGAAGGUGCCAAGCAAAAAGGAGGUGUAUCUACUAUCCGACGUCUGGAUUCUGCUGCACCGAAUAAACGCAUUAUGACCGCAAAUCAAUAUAAUUCUCAAAAUCAACAACAAACACAACGUGAAGACAAUGCUUCACCGAACCGCUCUAUGCAGGUAGCGCAACGGCAACAACAGCAACAACAAUAUAGUGACGCUAUACAGAAUGAGGAUAAUUUGGAAUAUUUCAUAAAAUUUCCCACACCAAAUUACCGCAGCGAUGCAAUGGAUGCAGGCGAUUCGGACUUUGUAUUUGUAUACAAUGAUUCAAAUGUUCCUAUUGUUAUGUUGCUCGGUUGGGCCGGUUGCCAGGAUCGUUACCUAAUGAAAUAUUCGAAAAUAUAUGAAGACCGCGGUUUAAUUACCGUUCGCUAUACGGCUCCAGUGGAUACGCUCUUUUGGAAACGCACUGCAAUGAUUCCUAUUGGUGAAAAAAUACUGAAACUAAUGUAUGAUAUGAAUUUCGAUUCACAUCCGGUGAUUGUGCAUAUUUUUUCGAAUGGCGGCGCUUACCUGUAUCAACACAUAUCGUUAGCAAUGCGUAAACAUAAGACGCCCAUACAAAUACGUGGCAUGAUUUUAGACUCUGCACCUGGUGAGCGUCGUGUUUUGGGUUUAUAUCGUGCUGUGACAGCAAUUUAUGGAAAAGAGAGGAAAAAAUGCCAUUCUGUAACAGCACUAAUUAUAACUCUGACUUUAAGCAUUAUGUGGUUUGUUGAGGAAACGUUUGCCGCUUUUAAAAGUUUGUUUUUCAAAUCUGAACCGGUACAAACAAAUCCCUUUAGCGAUUUGAAAAAUGAGGCUACACAAUUUCCACAAUUGUUCGUGUAUUCGAAGGGAGACGUGGUGAUUCCUUAUCAGGACAUUGAAAAAUUCAUUAAAAUCCGACAAGAGCGUGGAGUGGAUGUAUCAGCUGCAUGUUUUGAAGAUGCCGAACAUGUAAAAAUUUACACAAAAUAUCCGUCACAGUACAUCCAUUGCGUAUGUUCAUUUAUUAACAAUUGUUUAUCACGGCCUUAUAAGGGCGGUAAUGGUUUGGAGACGGUCACUGACAGUGGCUCACCAACCAGUUCAAUUCGUUCUAUACUGGGUGCUAAUUCCUCUAAAUAUGAUUAAAGAAAAUAUUAUAUGAACCGUUGUUUAUAACGCGAAAAAAGGAAAAUUACUUAAUUGCAACGAUUUUGUUAUCACGAGUGUGAAGUAUUGAUCGAAAGUAGCAUCUAGAAUGAUGAAGUGUGUGUGAGCCGCUUACAAACUUUUGCAAUAUUUGAACAUUGUAAGUGCACAAUAUAAAAUAAAUAAUCUGCGUUACUACCUAUAAUUUUACUAUACGAUUAUUUAAAGCAAAAACAAAAAUAUUGCUUUAUUAAUUUUUAAUCACAAAGUAUUAUAGUUUUUGUUGUAAAAUUUCAAAAUGUGAUACUAUAGGCGGAAACAAAAACAAAUUCUAGAUUUGACACUUGUAUGAGUGGAUUUCAAAUCGUUUUAAUCAAACACAUUAUAUAAUUAAAUAUUUUCCUAUUUAAAAUAAAUACUUACUUGCUUACUUACUGAUCAAAA